rnacentral:rRNA from 1 species
GAUGAACGCUGGCGGCGUGCCUAAUACAUGCAAGUCGAGCGAACAGACGAGGAGCUUGCUCCUCUGACGUUAGCGGCGGACGGGUGAGUAACACGUGGAUAACCUACCUAUAAGACUGGGAUAACUUCGGAAAACCGGAGCUAAUACCGGAUAAUAUAUUGAACCGCAUGGUUCAAUAGUGAAAGACGGUUUUGCUGUCACUUAUAGAUGGAUCCGCGCCGCAUUAGCUAGUUGGUAAGGUAACGGCUUACCAAGGCAACGAUGCGUAGCCGACCUGAGAGGGUGAUCGGCCACACUGGAACUGAGACACGGUCCAGACUCCUACGGGAGGCAGCAGUAGGGAAUCUUCCGCAAUGGGCGAAAGCUUGACGGAGCAACGCCGCGUGAGUGAUGAAGGUCUUCGGAUCGUAUAACUCUGUUAUUAGGGAAGAACAAAUGUGUAAGUAACUAUGCACGUCUUGACGGUACCUAAUCAGAAAGCCACGGCUAACUACGUG